AUGCUUGCUUCAGCAGCACAUACACUAAAAUAGGAACCAUGCAGAGAAGAUUAGUAUGGCUCCUGCACAAGGAUGACACACAAAUUCGUGAAACGUUUCAUAUUUUU
rnacentral:snRNA from 1 species